CUGGGAGCAUGUGUAUUAAAAAAUAAAGGAAAUAGAUCUUCACCCUUAUAAAACAUACUUUAAAAAAUAAAGGUCUAAUAUAACAAAUCUUAUAACCAAUUUCUAUUAACUCAAAUUUAGAGAAACUCAAACCUCUAUAUCACACAGGUUUUCAGCAGUAUCAUAUUUUUUUCUACAGUUCUCCACAUUUUUUUUUUUUAAAUAUACUGCCGUGCCAACAAAAGAUGUGUGAUAUAAAGGCUAGAGUUUUUUGUGGAAAUUCUAAUAUUUUGAUAUUUCAGCAUAAUUUUUUUUUUACUUUUUUCAUUUUUCUUAUACUGCCGCGCCAACAAAAGAUGUGAAAUAUAAAGGCUAGAUUCAUGGGAAAUUCUAAAAUUUCAUAUUUUAUCAAAAUGUUUACCUUAAUUGCAAUGGCUGUUUAAAAAGAAUCUACUGAAUAAUUAGGGUUUUUAAAAGAUAAAGUUGAAAGUCAAUUUUUCCCAUGAUUCAUAAACUAAAAUUCAGCAUGUAUACGUAGUUAAACUGCAAUAAGUCAUCUGCCGAUUUCAUUUCUGGGAGCAUGUGUAUUAAAAAAAUAAAGGAAAUAGAUCUUCACCCUUAUAAAACAUACUUUAAAAAAUAAAGGUCUAAUAUAACAAAUCUCAUAACCAAUUUCUUUUAACUCAAAUUUAGAGAAACUCAAACCUCUAUAUCAGACAGGUUUUCAGCAGUAUCAGGUCUAAUAUAACAAAUCUCAUAACCAAUUUCUUUUAACUCAAAUUUAGAGAAACUCAAACCUCUAUAUCAGACAGGUUUUCAGCAGUAUCAGGUCUAAUAUAACAAAUCUCAUAACCAAUUUCUUUUAACUCAAAUUUAGAGAAACUCAAACCUCUAUAUCAGACAGGUUUUCAGCAGUAUCAGGUCUAAUAUAACAAAUCUCAUAACCAAUUUCUUUUAACUCAAAUUUAGAGAAACUCAAACCUCUAUAUCAGACAGGUUUUCAGCAGUAUCAGGUCUAAUAUAACAAAUCUCAUAACCAAUUUCUUUUAACUCAAAUUUAGAGAAACUCAAACCUCUAUAUCACACAGGUUUUCAGCAGUAUCAUAUUUUUUUCUACAGUUCUCCACAUUUUUUUUUUACUUUUUUCUUUUUUUUUUAAAUAUACUGCCGCGCCAACAAAAGAUGUGUGAUAUAAAGGCUAGAGUUUUUUGUGGAAAUUCUAAUAUUUUGAUAUUUCAGCAUAAUUUUUUUUUUACUUUUUUCAUUUUUCUUAAAUAUACUGCCGCGCCAACAAAAGAUGUGAAAUAUAAAGGCUAGAUUCAUGGGAAAUUCUAAAAUUUCAUAUUUUAUCAAAAUGUUUACCUUAAUUGCAAUGGCUGUUUAAAAAGAAUCUACUGAAUAAUUAGGGUUUUUAAAAGAUAAAGUUGAAAGUCAAUUUUUCCCAUGAUUCAUAAACUAAAAUUCAGCAUGUAUACGUAGUUAAACUGCAAUAAGUCAUCUGCCGAUUUCAUUUCUGGGAGCAUGUGUAUAAAAAAAAUAAAGGAAAUAGAUCUUCACCCUUAUAAAACAUACUUUAAAAAAUAAAGGUCUAAUAUAACAAAUCUCAUAACCAAUUUCUUUUAACUCAAAUUUAGAGAAACUCAAACCUCUAUAUCAGACAGGUUUUCAGCAGUAUCAGGUCUAAUAUAACAAAUCUCAUAACCAAUUUCUUUUAACUCAAAUUUAGAGAAACUCAAACCUCUAUAUCACACA